rnacentral:rRNA from 1 species
GAUGAACGCUGGCGGCGUGCCUAAUACAUGCAAGUCGAGCGAACAGACGAGGAGCUUGCUCCUCUGACGUUAGCGGCGGACGGGUGAGUAACACGUGGAUAACCUACCUAUAAGACUGGGAUAACUUCGGGAAACCGGAGCUAAUACCGGAUAAUAUAUUGAACCGCAUGGUUCAAUAGUGAAAGACGGUUUUGCUGUCACUUAUAGAUGGAUCCGCGCCGCAUUAGCUAGUUGGUAAGGUAACGGCUUACCAAGGCGACGAUGCGUAGCCGACCUGAGAGGGUGAUCGGCCACACUGGAACUGAGACACGGUCCAGACUCCUACGGGAGGCAGCAGUAGGGAAUCUUCCGCAAUGGGCGAAAGCCUGACGGAGCAACACCGCGUGAGUGAUGAAGGUCUUCGGAUCGUAAAACUCUGUUAUUAGGGAAGAACAAAUGUGUAAGUAACUAUGCACGUCUUGACGGCACCUAAUCAGAAAGCCACGGCUAACUACGUG